AACGAACGCUGGCGGCAUGCCUAACACAUGCAAGUCGAACGAACCCUUCGGGGUUAGUGGCGCACGGGUGCGUAACGCGUGGGAAUCUGCCCUUUGCUUCGGAAUAACAGUUAGAAAUGACUGCUAAUACCGGAUGAUGUCUUCGGACCAAAGAUUUAUCGGCAAGGGAUGAGCCCGCGUAGGAUUAGGUAGUUGGUGGGGUAAAGGCCUACCAAGCCGACGAUCCUUAGCUGGUCUGAGAGGAUGAUCAGCCACACUGGGACUGAGACACGGCCCAGGCUCCUACGGGAGGCAGCAGUGGGGAAUAUUGGACAAUGGGCGCAAGCCUGAUCCAGCAAUGCCGCGUGAGUGAUGAAGGCCUUCGGGUCGUAAAGCUCUUUUACCAGGGAUGAUAAUGACAGUACCUGGAGAAUAAGCUCCGGCUAACUCCGUGCCAGCAGCCGCAGUAA
rnacentral:rRNA from 1 species